CCAAUAGCGUAUCUUAAAGUUGCUGCAGUUAAAAAGCUCGUAGUUGGAUUUCGGAACCAAUAUGUUGGUUGUGCCUCGGUACGUACUGGCAUUGUUGGUUUCUCCCUUCUGACGAACUAUGAUGUCAUUAAUUUGGUGUCAUGGGGAAUCAGGACUGUUACUUUGAAAAAAUUAGAGUGUUUAAAGCAGGCUCACGCUUGAAUACAUUAGCAUGGAAUAAUGAAAUAGGACGUUUGAUUCUAUUUUGUUGGUUUCUAGGAUUGACGUAAUGAUUAAUAGGGAUAGUUGGGGGCAUUAGUAUUCAAUUGUCAGAGGUGAAAUUCUUGGAUUUAUUGAAGACUAACUACUGCGAAAGCAUUUGCCAAGGAUGUUUUCAUUAAUCAAGAACGAAAGUUAGGGGAUCGAAGACGAUCAGAUACCGUCGUAGUCUUAACCAUAAACUAUGCCGACUAGGGAUCGGAUGAUGUUAAUUUUUUAAUGACUCAUUCGGCGCCUUACG
rnacentral:rRNA from 1 species